rnacentral:rRNA from 1 species
UACGAAGGGUGCAAGCGUUACUCGGAAUUACUGGGCGUAAAGCGUGCGUAGGUGGUUCGUUAAGUCUGAUGUGAAAGCCCUGGGCUCAACCUGGGAAUGGCAUUGGAUACUGGCGACCUAGAGUGCGGUAGAGGGGUGUGGAAUUCCCGGUGUAGCAGUGAAAUGCGUAGAUAUCGGAAGGAACAUCAGUGGCGAAAGCGGCUUCCUGGACCAGUACCGACGUCAGGCACGAAAGCGUGGGGAGCAAACAGGA